rnacentral:rRNA from 1 species
UACGGAGGGUGCGAGCGUUGUCCGGAAUCACUGGGCGUAAAGGGCGCGUAGGUGGCUACUCAAGCGCGCGGUGAAAGCCCGGGGCUCAACCCCGGGUCGGCCGUGCGGACUGGGAGGCUCGAGCACUGUAGGGGCGGGUGGAAUUCCGGGUGUAGCGGUGGAAUGCGUAGAGAUUGGGAAGAACACCCGUGGCGAAGGCGGCUAACUGGACCGACAUUGACGCUGAGGCGCGAAAGCGUGGGGAUCAAACAGG